AUGAUGAACAGGCUCUUGGAUCUGGGCUCACAGAGAGGAGGCCCCCGUGUCUCUGUGCCACGUGGACCCAGCUCAGUCGGGCGGAUAUGGAGGCACAGGGAGAAGGUCAUCUCGGGUUUGAGAUCGAUGUUUGGCUGUGGGAGCCCCCGGAAGCCCGGCGCAGAGCCAGAGGAAGAUUCCAGCCGAAUCCACUGCACCUCGCCUUCGGUCCAUCUCCGCCGGACGAUCACCCUUGCCACAGCCAGCCUGGGGCCGGCGAGCCCUGAGGCACAGCUGACUGACUGCUUCCUGGCAGCUUUCCGCUCACCCUGGCUUCCGGCCCUCAGAGUAGUGGUGGCUGGAUUUUUCCAUCAUCGACCUGAGCCUGUUCUUGAUCUCUUCCAGGCUCUCGUGUGGGAACACACACAGCCCUCCGCCAGGACGGCACCGCUCUCUGCUCUCCCUCGCCCAGGGCUGGACCGACCCCAUUUUGUUGGACGCGGGUCGUGCAACUUUGUCCACCUGGGGAAAACCCCUCUUAGGUGGCCCUCCACGUAAUUCAGGCUUCCUGUGUCACUCCCCACCCCCCGGUUAGCCGGUGGUAUUGCUUACAGGCCAGAAGUCAAAUGUUUUAUGUGGUCUCUCGGAUGCCAUGGCCACCCAGGUGACUUCGAUUUCCAGAUGUGCCUUAGUCCUUAAUGUUGCAGAGGCCAGAGUUGUCCUCUGUGUCUCCCAGAUGUAACCGGUGCCUAAUAGGUUGCCCCUGUGCCUCUUAGAGGACCCCUCCCCUCUAAUCCAGUUUCUAGAAGCCGGGGGGCAGGGAGCAGCCCAGUGACAUCACUUCUCUGGGCUGCGGAGCUUGGUCUUGCCCCAUUUAAAGCUUCCCAAAGGUGCGAGGCUCCAGGCUUUCCCUCAAGGCCCCUCCUCUUCCUCAUCUGUCUGCUCUUACGGCGGAUCUGGAUCUGAUCUGCGGUGUCACAGGCCCAGAGUGGUGUCUCGGGAUGAGGGGAGGAUGGGGAAGGACGGAUGGGGCGAACAGACUGCUGCCUCCUGUUUCCACCAUCGCUGCCCAGUGCGGGGCUAAUUGCUAAUCUGCUUUUCUUAAUAAAGUUUGGUUUGUAUGGCUCAGGUCCUGGAGCCUCCAUAUUCCUCUCCGCUGGGCCUUAUGUCCCUUCCCCCAUCAGUUCCUCUCCUGCUUCCCAGAGGGCCUCUGGGAGGAGAGGGACCGGAACCACCGGAGAAUCUUGUGGGGGGAAGGGAGUCCGUCGUGUGGGUAAAAAGGCAUAGAUUUGGGUUUUGGUCCUUUAUGUGCUAGUUGGUAUAAAUCUAGUCUAAGCCAUUUGCUUGGGUUGGGCGAGGGUCCUUGUGUGUGUGGGGGGGGGGGGUGUGUGUGUGUACUGGCAUGUGUCCACGGGGCAGGCUGCGUUGGAGUGAGCAGAGGCAGCGGGGAUGCUGGUUUUCUCCCUGGGGCCUCUGAUCGGACCAGUUUCCCGGCACCGUGGGAGCCUCGGGGUCUCUCCUCUCGCUGAUGGCCCACGCCGUCUGAGAGGCAGCCGCGUGCGUGAGGGGUGGACGGAGCCCAGAUCCCUGGUUUCCAGCCAGGAACCAGAGGGAAGAAAGUAAUGCUUGUG
rnacentral:lncRNA from 1 species